CACGUAUUUAGCCGGUGCUUCUUACUCAGGUACCGUCAUUUUUCUUCCCUGCUGAUAGAGCUUUACAUACCGAAAUACUUCUUCGCUCACGCGGCGUCGCUGCAUCAGGGUUUCCCCCAUUGUGCAAUAUUCCCCACUGCUGCCUCCCGUGGGAGUUUGGGCCGUGUCUCAGUCCCAAUGUGGCCGGCCACCCUCUCAGGUCGGCUACUGAUCGUCGCCUUGGUGGCCUCUCCCCCGCAACCAGCUAAUCAGACGCGGGCCCAUCCCAUACCACCGGAGUUUUUCACACCAGGCCAUGCGGCCCUUGUGCGCUUAUGCGUUUAGCAGCCGUUUCCGGCUGUUACUCCCCUGUAUGGGGCAGGUUGCCCACGCGUUACCUCGACCCGUCCGCCACUCACGUCACAACUUUCCUUCCUUCCCCGAAGGAAAUCUAAAAAGAGUGCUUCGUUCGACUU
rnacentral:rRNA from 1 species